ACGAACGCUGGCGGCGUGCCUAAUACAUGCAAGUCGAACGCUUCUUUUUCCACCGGAGCUUGCUCCACCGGAAAAAGAGGAGUGGCGAACGGGUGAGUAACACGUGGGUAACCUGCCCAUCAGAAGGGGAUAACACUUGGAAACAGGUGCUAAUACCGUAUAACAAUCGAAACCGCAUGGUUUUGAUUUGAAAGGCGCUUUCGGGUGUCGCUGAUGGAUGGACCCGCGGUGCAUUAGCUAGUUGGUGAGGUAACGGCUCACCAAGGCGACGAUGCAUAGCCGACCUGAGAGGGUGAUCGGCCACAUUGGGACUGAGACACGGCCCAAACUCCUACGGGAGGCAGCAGUAGGGAAUCUUCGGCAAUGGACGAAAGUCUGACCGAGCAACGCCGCGUGAGUGAAGAAGGUUUUCGGAUCGUAAAACUCUGUUGUUAGAGAAGAACAAGGAUGAGAGUAACUGUUCAUCCCUUGACGGUAUCUAACCAGAAAGCCAAGGCUAACUACGUGCCAGCAGCCGCGGUAAUACGUAGGUGGCAAGCGUUGUCCGGAUUUAUUGGGCGUAAAGCGAGCGCAGGCGGUUUCUUAAGUCUGAUGUGAAAGCCCCCGGCUCAACCGGGGAGGGUCAUUGGAAACUGGGAGACUUGAGUGCAGAAGAGGAGAGUGGAAUUCCAUGUGUAGCGGUGAAAUGCGUAGAUAUAUGGAGGAACACCAGUGGCGAAGGCGGCUCUCUGGUCUGUAACUGACGCUGAGGCUCGAAAGCGUGGGGAGCAAACAGGAUUAGAUACCCUGGUAGUCCACGCCGUAAACGAUGAGUGCUAAGUGUUGGAGGGUUUCCGCCCUUCAGUGCUGCAGCUAACGCAUUAAGCACUCCGCCUGGGGAGUACGACCGCAAGGUUGAAACUCAAAGGAAUUGACGGGGGCCCGCACAAGCGGUGGAGCAUGUGGUUUAAUUCGAAGCAACGCGAAGAACCUUACCAGGUCUUGACAUCCUUUGACCACUCUAGAGAUAGAGCUUCCCCUUCGGGGGCAAAGUGACAGGUGGUGCAUGGUUGUCGUCAGCUCGUGUCGUGAGAUGUUGGGUUAAGUCCCGCAACGAGCGCAACCCUUAUUGUUAGUUGCCAUCAUUUAGUUGGGCACUCUAGCAAGACUGCCGGUGACAAACCGGAGGAAGGUGGGGAUGACGUCAAAUCAUCAUGCCCCUUAUGACCUGGGCUACACACGUGCUACAAUGGGAAGUACAACGAGUCGCAAAGUCGCGAGGCUAAGCUAAUCUCUUAAAGCUUCUCUCAGUUCGGAUUGUAGGCUGCAACUCGCCUACAUGAAGCCGGAAUCGCUAGUAAUCGCGGAUCAGCACGCCGCGGUGAAUACGUUCCCGGGCCUUGUACACACCGCCCGUCACACCACGAGAGUUUGUAACACCCGAAGUCGGUGAGGUAACCUUUUGGAGCCAGCCGCCUAAGGUGGGAUAGAUGAUUGGGGUG
rnacentral:rRNA from 1 species